rnacentral:ncRNA from 1 species
AGACGAACAACUGCGAAAGCAUUUGCCAAGGAUGUUUUCAUUAAUCAAGAAUGAAAGUUGGGGGCUCGAAGACGAUCAGAUACUGUCCUAGUCUCAACCAUAAACGAUACCGACCAGGGAUCGACGGAUGUUGCUUUUAAGACUCUGCCGGCACUUUAUGAGAAAUCAAAGUCUUUGGGUUCCGGUGGGAGUAUGGUCGCAAGGCUGAAACUUAAAGGAAUUGACGGAAGGGCACCACCAGGAGUGGAGCUUGCGGCUAAAUUUUACUCAACACGGGGAAACUUACAGGUCCAGACAUAGUAAGGAUUGACAGACUGAAAGUUCUUUCUUGAUUCUAUGGGUGGUUGUGCAUGGCUGUUCUUAGUUGGUGGAGCGAUUUGUCUGGUUAAUUUCGUUAACGAAUGAGACCUCAGCCUGCUAACUAGCUACACAGAGGUGAUCCUUCGUGGCUAGCUUCUUAGAGGGACUAUGGCCUUUUAGGCCA